UGUCCAUCACAACCCCGGCCUCCCUGGAAGCCCUGAUCCCUAAGUUUUCCUGAAAAGGGGCAGAGUAGACAGCCAUGUCAGCGUGGUGACUCGGCUGAGGGGCUCACAGCACCCUCUCUGCGUUGCUCCGGGAAGCCCUGAUGCACAGUGCAGCGUACACUCUCCACUAAAGGAAAGGAGCAGUGUCUUCAGAGAGCUCAAUGUCUUGCCCCCAAGAUGGUUUCUACACAAUUCACCUCAGGAUCAAAUUUUGUUGAAAAAGACACUCCCUUGCAAGUUCAGCCCAGGAUUGCGGUGUCCCCGAGGCACAGACAGAUUCUAUCAACUGUGCGUGACAUGGGGUAGGAGACACCGAAGACAUCAGAAAAAACAAACCCAAAACAAUACCAAUAUCCUGCAUGCUGUCGAAGGGAAGCAGAAUGGAGCCAUCAAUGUUCCCAGUCCAGAAGUCCCGGGAAAGCCAUCAAACUGGACCUGGCCCUGUCAUGUUUGAGUUUCUCCGUAGUGGGGUUGGCCUUGAACCCAGAAGCAACACAGCUGGGUCAUGUUAGGAACCUCCAAACUGAUUCCAAGAAGACCCCACUACUUCACGUCCCACCAGCGGUGUACUGGGGUUUCUCCUUUUCAGAUCCAUGAUGGCGCCACUUGUCAUCUGUGUUCUCGGCGAUGGUCAUUCAGAUGUGGGCGAGGUGGUUUUCAUCUGCAUUUCCCUGAUAGGAGUCUCCAGAACAUACUAUCUGCUUCCAGAAGGGCCUAUAAAAUACAUCUUCUCCAGCAGUCAGGAGGGGUGCCCCGAUGAGGAGUAGAUCACAUACACAAGUAAUGUCGGUAAAGUCUUGAUUAGUCAAAUGAAGGCUAGAGCCUGUGAUUGGGCAGUGGAAGGAAAAGGCAGAGCUGAAGGUUUUAGAGAAGAGAGAAAAGGAAAAAGAAGAGAGAAGAGUUCAAGGAUGGAGGAGAAGCGGAUGGAGGAAGAAGAGGUUGAAGAUGGAGCCGACCCACAUGGCCUGAAGGAGUCCCAGUAGCCAGAGAUUUCACAGCUGGGCAAUGGAGCGGUGUAGUAGUGUAUUUGUCCAAUCUACGUGUGCAGCUUGUAAUUAUAUUACUGAGUCGA